UCCCCCUCCCCGUGCAGGGGGGCGAGCGGGCGGGCUUCCCCUCAGGCCCACCCAGCGUAGCCCGCGGGAGAAGCCAGGCCCCGCCCGCGCUGCGGGGCUGGGGGCGCGAACCGGCGGGCGGGAAGAGAGUCAGUACCUGCUCCGCCGCCGCCGGAGCUGGGACAGUAACCGAGCGCAGGCCCCGCCGCUGCCGCCGCCGCUGCCGCAACAGGGACUGUCCGCAGUCCGCACAGCGCCACCCUGCGGGCCCGCCCGCCGGGGAGCCCAGCGGCUGCGCCUCGGAGCCGGGGCGUGCGUGGGGCCAGGGAGUGAGAAGGGGCCGCACCCCACCCUGCACAGCAAACUGCCCCGUAUCCCCCACGGGGGGACCCGCACCGCGAAUCCCCAGCAGCAUCUCUGCCCCAGUGUUCAUGGGCGGGACACCGCACCCGGCUGAGCCCUCCCUGGGGAGUGAGGUAUAGUUGGGAUUAUCAUUGCUUGUCUUCCUGUCAGUAUCCCAGUGUAGGUAUUGCGAUAUACCAGAGACAUGCAUGAGCACCCUAGAAGGCUUCCAAACCAAAAUACCUCAACGUUCAUAAAUGUACCAGAGGCCAUGUUAUAAAUAUGGACUGGGAUAAAGGAGAAGAUUGACCAUUUGAAUAUUUUGUUUAUGGAACUGCUUUCUCUGAGGUUGAAAUUGACUAUCUUACAGGAGAUCAUAAGAUAAUAAAAACUACAAUUAGAUCUGGAGCAGGAGUGGUCAAUAGGUGGACCACAGGCCAAAUCCAGACUGCCAGAUGCUUUUGAAUGGACCCCAAAAUCUUUUUAUUUACUUAAUAUCAUUAUUGUUAUUUUUUAUUAUUAUUAUUUUCUCUGGAGUCUGGACUUUGGCUAUACUUUGAUGAAGAAAUCCGGACCUUGACAAGAAAUAAUCGACUACCUUUUGUCUGGAGAAUAAAUUCACAAAGAUUUUUGAGCUGGUGCUGAACAGAGGAGAAUGUACAUAGUUAUAUUCAGCCAAUACAAUUUACAGCAAAAAAUUCAGAAAAUUAUGAAUCAAGAAUACUACUUUUCAGUAUAAUAUUGCACUGGUACUACAAAACAUACACACAUACAAAAAUUAAUGAAUAUUUUCUUUACCUACAUGUCAGUAUAUUGCUGCAUCAUAUAUUGAUUAGACCAUUCAGUAAAUUUAAACAAUACUUGUUUACUAUUUAUUGUGCAUGUGAUCCAUAAAGCAUGUACUAUGUAUGAUGUAUUAAAGUGUUUUGCACUUGCCAUAUUGUUCUUUCCUAACCUAUCUGGUGAAUGAAAAUAUAUCAAUUUGACUUAAGAUAAAAGUAACUGCUGUUUCCAGUGCCACAACAUAAUUUGCUGUGCCUAAAACUAUUUGUAACCAUUUGUUGUGGAUAUUUAUGGCUGUGGUUAUUGUUGUGGAUAUUUUAUAUAGUUAAAUAUUAUAAUACAAUAACACAAUCUAAACAGUUUGUAUUUUUAUUUCCAAAGUA